rnacentral:rRNA from 1 species
UACGGAGGGUGCGAGCGUUGUCCGGAAUCACUGGGCGUAAAGGGCUCGUAGGCGGCCCUCUCAGUCGGAUGUGAAAUCCCCAGGCUUAACCUGGGAACGGCAUCCGAUACUGGAGGGCUUGAAUUCGGGAGAGGGAUGCAGAAUUCCAGGUGUAGCGGUGAAAUGCGUAGAUAUCUGGAGGAAUACCGGUGGCGAAGGCGGCAUCCUGGACCGAGAUUGACGCUGAGGAGCGAAAGCUAGGGGAGCAAACGGG